CAACACGUCUUGUGAUUCGUAAUGUAUAGACGUGAACUUGUUUAUUAGGAGAAACGGUCGUGGCGCGUAUUGCUGGCGUUAACAUUCCGACC
rfam:Kordiimonas lacus strain CGMCC 1.9109 genome assembly, contig: Ga0070197_106